rnacentral:tRNA from 1 species
UUCCCGAUCCGCUAACGGUAAGCGGCCCGACUGUUAAUCGGUCCAUCCAGGUUCGAGUCCUGGUCGGGGAGCCA